GGGUCACACAGGCCCAGUACCAUGCCAUACUAUAUGUCACAUGUCACUAAUUACUGUACCCCUAUCGGUUCUGGAAUGGGUCACACAGGCCCAGUACCAUGCCAUACUAUAUGUCACAUGUCACUAAGUUACCGUACCCCUAGCGGUUCUGGAAUGGGUCACGCAGGCCCAGUACCAUGUCAUACUACAUGUCACAUGUCACUAAGUUACUAUACCCUUAUCGGCUCUGGAAUGAGUCACGCAGGCCCAGUACCAUGUCAUACUAUAUGUCACAUGUCACUAAUUACCGUACCCCUAGCGGUUCUGGAAUGGGUCACACAGGCCCAGUACCAUGCCAUACUACAUGUCACAUGUCACUAAGUUACUGUACCCCUAUCAGUUCUGGAAUGGGUCACGCAGGCCCAG